rnacentral:misc_RNA from 1 species
GUGCUUGCAGGGGUUGAGCUCUGGCUCUUUGGUCUCAACUGUCAAUCAACUGGUGUACAGAUUCUUGGGAUAUGAGGACAAGAAACUGGGAUAUGAGGACAAGAAGCUGGGACAUGAAGACGGUGUUAAAUGACCAGUGCCUAACGACCUGGACCAUCGGGAAUCGAACGUCGACUCUGCAAGAAGCGAGACCGUUGCUGUAUACCGACCAAUCCAAGUGGUCGGGUCUGAUAUAAGACGACUGCUUGGAGGGUGGCCCCAUCUGUUUCCCACAACGCCAACCCUCUGCCACCAGCAACGCUGACAACGUUGUUAAAAACAAGUUUACCCUGCCGCCAUCAACGCAGAUAACAACGCUCGGUAGCCAGCCCGUCUUCUCGUGCGUUUACAACGUCACUAAACCGAUGUACUAAAUUAACACAACCUAACUUAACCGAGGAUCCACGUAUAGAAAACGCGACAGCACGUCAAUUUUGCGAGCCGCUAUGAUUUUUAGUACAUCAGUUUUUGCCCUUAGGGGAUUUAUUCAUCAAAGUGUCGAGUAUUAUUCGAGUGGACGGGUUGCUGUAGAAACCCUCAACUUUCAGCCAACGGAUGUCCGCUCCCAUUAACCCCUGCGUCGUUACUACUCACAACAUUAUCAAUAUAUUCACGCCCAAUUAUGCAAUCAUCUGAUUCUCAGACGUCAUCGAGAGGCGACCAUCAGCUUAUUGGUGGCCCUUAUUGCCGCCAAAAUCUUCAAGAGUUGUUAACGCCGCCAAUGGAACUAACGCAACUAACAGCUAACGAGUCACCGUGCAUGGCGUUAAACCAAGCACCUGAUCCUCUCGAUAUUAUCAGCUGAUUCCGAAGAUGUCGCAGAAACGUCUACAGAAACUCGACAUCGACGUCAAGAAUUCAUCGUUGUUCAUCGGCCAAAAUAGUGAAAUUGAAUCAUAUUUGCCUCCGGGUGCAUUGCCCGGGGAAAAAGAGGAUUAUAUUUUCUUAAACCUUGUUGGUAAAAAAAAAUUGAAUUAAUAUUAUUUGUUAAAUAUGUGACAUUUAUAUUUUUAUACCAAGUGCAGAUAAUAAACAUAAACCAGCUACUCUUAUUUAUAUACAGUAAGUGUGAAUAUGUUCGUGUGUUCAAUUUAAGUUCAAGUAUGUUUAUUGAGACAAGAAAGAAAUACAUCUCAAAGGGAUAGAGUAGCUUAGGCUAUUUCUACGUUGUCGAACAGCCGUUUCAGCCGUUAUAAAAAUAUAAUCAAUAAUGACGCAAAACUGCGUAUAAAUUCGAUCAUAUUAAUGUUCAAUCUUCAUAUGACAACUAAUGAAGGGAAAACUCAUUGUAGAGAUGGCUUAUAGUGACAACACGUGCAAGACCUGAACUAAACUAAACUGCAGUAAUAACAUAAUUCGUGAACACUACGAGUUGUUUAACAAAAGUUUAAACAAGCCAUUCGGCCCUGCCUUUAACUAUCUCUCCCCCUCAAGUAAGUAAUUAUCAAAAGAAGGUACCAAGCCGGGAAUAAGGCUAUGUAGCACCAUCAAAUGUGCGGGACAAUCAUAGGGCCUCGCGUUUCAAGUGAAGAGUUAAAACGGAUACCAAAUACAAAUCCAACAGAAGCCCUAAAUGAGUCGGAGAGACUAAACCAAUAGCAGAUAUUUAAGACGAGUGUGUUUAGUGAGGAAAAACUGUGUAAGUGUUGGCCAGGACCGAAGGGAACACAAACGAGGAAGGUUCUUACUGAAGAAUUUAACUCACAAGAGACUAAUCCAGUCACACAAGAAACACAGGAUUUAUGACCUUGAAAUAACCAAAAUGUCUCAGUUUAAGCUUUGCAGAGUGACGUGGAUGCAGACAACGUUAUGGGGGCUGCUAGCUGUGUGGCUCUCUGGCGGCUCGUGGGCGGCUGCCAUAGCCUUCACCAACAAUGCAGAUGAUAAUGAGACAGAAAGAGUUGCAAGUUCAUUUCACAACACGUCAGAGUGUGAAAAUGACAAGCCCCACCACGACGGGAUCCGCUUGGUCACUUUGCGGUGGAGCGAGGUGGGCGUUUACUACACAAUAACUGCUUUUGUCAUAAUAGCAGGCCUUACCAAGCUAGGUUUCCAUCACCUUCACUGGAUCGCCAACAGGGUCCCGGAGUCGUGCGUCUUAGUCGUCCUUGGAGUCGCUCUAGGCCUCAUUGUAUUUUUCACCACACAUGAUCCAGACCCUACGGACUCUUGUCACCAUCACAUCGAGCUACCGCAUUUUACAUCUGACAAGUUCUUUUUCGUCCUGCUACCCCCUAUUAUCCUGGAUUCGGCCUACUCCCUUCAUGACCGAUCCUUCUUUGAUAACCUGGGCACAGUCCUCGUCUUUGCCGUCAUCGGAACGAUAUUCAAUAUUUUUACAAUUGGCCCCUCACUGUAUGGCUUGGCAGCUGCUGGCGCCAUGGGAAACAUCACCUUCUCGUUUCCAGAGAGUUUAGUGUUUUCUUCUCUUAUCUCGGCUGUGGAUCCAGUGGCCGUUUUGGCCAUUUUCCAGGAACUUGGGGUCAAUAAAGACCUCUACUUUCUCAUCUUCGGAGAGUCACUUCUGAAUGAUGGUGUGACAGUUGUAAUGUACAACACAAUGCAGGCCUUCAUGUCCAUGACGACGGUGACAGUGGGCCAGUAUGCUCUGGCUAUCGCUGCGUUCUUCAUCGUUGUGUGUGGUGGCAUCUUCAUCGGUAUCAUCUUUGGUUGUCUGACAGCCCUCAUUACAAAAUCUACAACAGACGUUCGAGUUCUUGAGCCUUUGGCACUCCUGGGUCUGUCCUACCUGAGUUACCUAACCGCCGAGCUGUUUCAUUUCUCGGGCAUUAUUAGUCUUAUUGUCUGUGGGCUUCUCCAAGCACAUUAUGCUUUCGCAAAUAUCUCACAGAAGUCAUAUACAUGUGUCAAAUACUUCACCAAAAUGGCCAGUGCAACAUGUGACACCAUCAUCUUCAUGUUCCUGGGGAUGGUGCUUGUGAGCAACGACCAUGUCUGGCACACGGGUUUUGUACUCUGGAGCAUCGUUUUGUGUUUUAUCUUCAGGUUUGUUGGGGUGUUUAUGCUAACGGGAAUUAUGAAUAGCUACCGGGUAAAGAAGAUCGGUGUAGAGGAGCAGUUCAUCGCAGCGUAUGGUGGGCUGCGCGGGGCCGUGGCCUUCUCUCUGGUCAACAUGCUAGACAAGAGCUUACAGCCACGCAGGAUAUUUGUCACAACUACACUUGUUGUUAUUCUUUUCACCAUCUUCAUUCAGGGAAUGACAAUUAAACCGUUAGUCAACCUCCUUCAAAUUCAAAAAAAAAAAUCUGGCAAGAAAAAUCUAAGUGAGGAAAUUAAUGACACAACCAUGGACCACAUCAUGGCUGGGGUGGAAGAGAUUCUUGGCCAGCAUGGAGAUUUCUACCUCAGGGAGCUAAUGGUACACUAUAAUGACAAAUACCUGAAAAAGUGGUUUCUACGACCCACUUGUGAAACAAAACUACAAAGGCUUUUUGAAAAAAUUGCAAUAUCAGAGCAUUAUGCUCACCUCUAUGGUCCAGUAGCCAUGAUUGAGGAUAAAGUCACACCUCUCUGUGCCUCAACCAAGAGAGAUAAAAGAUCGCGAGGUUCGUCCUUCUCAUCAUCACAUAAGGAUGAGAUAAUGCUUCAACCAAGGUUGCGCCUCGAGGAUGAAGAUGAAGAUCUCACACACAACAUUCCUGGCCUUGUUAAUGAUGGGAACGUUCAACUAAGGAAGAAGCGUGGAUCAUUCGUACACGUGAGACAAGCUCGGGUGGCUUCCGAAGUGUCCCAGGGCUCCGCUCAACAGCACGAUGAUGAUGCACACGCACUGCGUAAAGCUUUCAGGAGCAACCCAUAUAAUAAGCUUCACUACAAGUACAAUCCCAAUCUGGUCGGCGAGGAGGACCAGGAACUGGAUGAGCAUCUCCACCGCCGCCACCUCAAUGCUCGUAGGAUGACUCGUCUAGCAAGCUCAUCUCGUCUUCCAAAUUAUAACAAUCUUUCAGAAGAUCCACAGCUACGUCGCAGGACAGGUCUAGAUAAUACAGAUUUGCCACAAGGAGUGGCAGAGCUGGUGGAGCGCCACUUUGCUCGCCGCAGAACCAUGUCAUGCCACCAUCGAGGUGUGCCGCCCUUACAAACCUGUCUGUCCUCACCCGAACCUGGAGCUACUUACCCUUCCACAAUGCAUAUCCUACAAGCACUGCAAGAAGCUGUCGAACCAAGUUCUAGCCUUCCAGACAUUAGAACCGAAGCUACCGAGGCUUUAACAGACAGAGCUCCGUCAGUGUUUUCCGAUCCUGGUGGGCGUGGGGUUGAACUCAACAGAGAUAUAGAACUGGAAAGUCUAGAACCUUAUAUUACGACUGAGAAUAGUAAUGGCGAUGAAGAAAUACCUCUGGUAACCACUGUUCAAGAGGAUUCAAGUGUUCAAAGCUCUAAGACUCCUAAUAGAGAUGAUUUGGUUUAAAUAUAGAAAUAAAGACAAUUUAAUUUGUAAUAUUAAUAAGAAAACAAAACUUACUGCUGUUAGUGUGAUACAUUAUGUAAUUUAUACUACAUAAUGUAUUAUGCAAUAUAAAUUAUGUAUUAUGUAAUAUAAAUCUACAUAUAUGAAAUCUAUCAUAUAUCAUGUUCAAAAUGAAAAUACAUAGUAAAGCAAUUUCUGUGAUUUUUUUUAAUAUAUAUAUGAAGAAAGAUGAGGUUAUGAUGGAUUUGUACUUACCUAAAUGUGCUUCAGGGUUACUAUGAAGAUAAUAUCACUAUACAAGAUAACUCCUACACUUACUUAUGAUGUAAGUCAUACACCUUUGUAUGCACUGAAGUGGAUGUAGGUCCAUUUAUUUUUUCCAAUAGGGGCAGGGGAGAGGAGGGGGUUGUAUGGGGAGUGAAUGGGUCGAAUGAAAUCUCUAAUGAAACGAGUCGGCCUCGCCCCCUUAUAGCUUGUUUAUGCAAGGACACUGUAACAGUGAAAAUAGGCUUGUAGAAAAAAGAAGAGUAAGAAUAAUGAUAUACAUAUUAUAUGAUGAAAUUGGUCUCCAAACUAUCGCUUGUAAUGACAUGUAAUGAGCUGUAUAAUCCUUAAGACUGUACUUCUUAAGCAAAUUUUGGAAAAUGCCGUAUUGUGACAUUUGAUAAUUUGCUUGGUGUGGAUAAAGACCUUAGUGACCCAUCAGUGAACUAAGUACAGUAAUACCUGUAUAUCUUGCACCCAUUGUGAUAUUUCCUUUGAUAAACAAUUUAAUUUUGUAUACUACAGUAUAUCUCAAAUAUUUAUAAUUAUAUUUUUAUUGUUAGAGAGUUUUAGAUAGAGAUACAGUAUUUGAGUCUGCUAAUUAACAUAUAAAUUCAGUGUAAAUAACGCUCUAGCCUUAAAAACACUAUACAGUACUUCACGUAUGUAAUUUUUUACAUUAAAGAACUUAAUUAUAUUUUUAACAUUAAAAUAGUUAUAAUUAUGUAGUGUGUUUGCUGGGAAGUACUUCGUAAUGCUUUAGCAAAUCACCCUUUUAGUGAUAAUUUGUAUUCCAAGUACCAGUACCUGCACCUGUAUAAUUAUUUAUACAACUGCAGGCUACUAUUUAACAUAUUUCAUUCCUUGUAUGUAAUUUACCCCAUGUGUAUAGUAUGCUGUUUAGUUUGGUUUUUCAGUUCUGGUUUAAUAAAGUUAUGACUGUAGAGCUGACACAACAAAUACUGAGAGGAUAUGUGACCAAACUACUAUACUCUGAAAGGGCAUUAACCUUUUUUGCUGUUAAUGUUACAAUCAUAUGACAAAGAAAAACCUUUAUUCUUGAGAAUCGGAAUUUUACCAAAACCCUAAAAAAAGUGUUCACGACCUAGUGGAAUAUGACCGAACAUCUGGUAAUCAAUACGGGGGGUUGGACCUGGUAUGUGCAGCCAUCUGGGUGGGGAGGUUCAUUAUACAAGUAAACAUUAUACAAUGCUGUAGCUCCAGUUAAGCUAAGAAUACCUCCCACACACCUCGCAUCUGUUACAAAUAAUCAGUGUAAUUUAAGAUGUCAUGUUCUGUUUAUUUAAACUUUGAGAUUGCUCUGUUUUUCUCUAGUUAUGUUAAAUGUUUUCUUGUUCAAGACUCAGCCACCAUAUCUUAUUAGAAAUGUAUAACAAUAAGAAAAUAACUAUGCCUUUUUUUUCUCUAUAUUAAUUUGUGUUAAGUCUAAAAUACUUAAAAUUCCUCUGAGUAUGUUUAUAUGUUUUAUAUAUGAUAUCCUUUGUAUUGAGAACACUUUUCAUGGUACAGAACCGAGUUUCUUGGAACAUUUUUUAUAUUGAAUAACCAGAUGGGACUCCCAGCUGUGCCCGGGAACACUUAUGGCCUUAUAUUGAGCUACAUGGACAACAAGUGUCUUAUUGAGCAGUUGGUUUUCAAACUAGAAAAACAAAGAAAAUUAUUUAUCCCUAUUUCAGCUCUGUGGUCAUCAAACCAAACCUGAAAUUUGACAGCAACGGGUUAAGGGCAGUUAAUGAGUAAAAUAUUACAUAAAUAUGUUCACAUGUUAUUAGUGCUGUAAUUAUAAAAAAUAUAAACUAUGUAAAAAUGUAAUCACACUUGUAACUUUUAUAUAUAAAAUAUUAUUAUUA